CAAGGGAAUCCGACCCGCAGCGAUCAGACCCCGCCCCUUCAGGGAGAACACGGCCCGUUGGCCCCGCUCACGGCGAGAGCACCGCCCACAGGCUGAAGAUCCUGCCCCUUCAGGACGGCCGAGAACGCGCCUGCCUUGCACCACCCCCACCCCGCCCCGCGUCCUUCAGGAGAGCCGGAAACGCUCCUACCCCUACUUCGCUUCUGCACGGCCGCGAGAACGCACCUGUCCAGCCCCCUGUUCGCUCCGCCCACUCAGCGCGCGCGGGAGCGCGCGCGGGAGCAGCUCCAACUUUUUCAAUUUGCCGCCAUCUUUACGGCGGCCGACUUCCCAGCCUGCCUCGCGUCCAGGGAGGCGGAGCUCAGAUGAGGUCCGGGGAAUGAGGUGAUUCGCCCAAAAGCACACUACAAAUUGGAGUCACCAGCAGGUCUGCUAUUUUGCCACUAAACCAAUCUGCCGGUCACACCUUGGCUGUAAAGUGUCCUAACAGCCACCUACUUAUGAUUACUGCUUUCUUACCAAUAACCUCCCCAGCCUGUUGUGUGGCUCCUACAUCUUGAACAAAAGCGACCAAGGCAUACAUCUGUAGGAGACCAGAAUAUGCCACCCCAAAAUAUGCCUCCUUGGCCUAAGGAUUAUUCUGAGCUAGUAAUUUUGAGAAACAGAAGCUAUGAAAACAGCAUAAGCUACCCCUUUGAAAGAGAAAUUCACCCCGGCCACCACCCCGUCUGGGAAGUGAGGAGCGUCUCUGCCCAGCCGCCCCGUCUGAGAAGUGAGGAGCCCCUCCGCCCGGCAGCCGCCCCGUCUGGGAAGUGAGGAGCCCCUCUGCCCGGCCGCCAGGCCGUCUGGGAGGUGUGCCCAACAGCUCAUUGAGAACGGGCCAUGAUGACGAUGGCGGUUUUGUCGAGUAGAAAGUGGGGAAAUGUGGGGAAAGGAAGGAGAGAUCAGAUUGUUGCUGUGUCUGUGUGGAGAGAAGUAGACACAGGAGACUCCAUUUUGUUAUGUACUAAGAAAAAUUCUUCUGCCUUGGGAUGCUGUUAAUCUAUAACCUUACCCUCAGCCCCAUGCUCUCUGAAACAUGUGCUGUGUCCACUCAGGGUUAAAUGGAUUAAGGGCGGUGCAAGAUGUGCUUUGUUAAACAGAUGCUUGAAGGCAGCAUGCUCGUUAAGAGUCAUCACCACUCCCUAAUCUCAAGUACCCAGGGACACAAACACCGGAAGGCCGCAGGGUCCUCUGCCUAGGAAAACCAGAGACCCUUGUUCACAUGUUUAUCUGCUGACCUUCCCUCCACUAUUGUCCUAUGACCCUGCCAAAUCCCCCUCUCUGAGAAACACCCAAGAAUGAUCAAUAAAUACUAAAAAAAAAAAAAGAGAAACUCACAGUCUUAAAAGAAAUCGCUCUUUGUAAGGGUGUCUCCCUCUCUGUACCAGGAAGAGAAAGUUGACUCUAAAUCACCAGAGACCCUUAUCAAUGGAGAAGGCAGCAACUUGUUUUGUGUGCUUCUCCGGGUCUUUUUCCCAAAACUGGCCUUCCUCACUCCCUUCUUUGUUUUUAGCUGAAGAUGGUACUUAAACCUGAAUUCUAAGCCACUCCUUUGAGAAUUACUCAUUUUCUUGGGCAUCUCACAUGUAUAUGCAAAGUAUACAUGUUAAUAUAGCUCCAUUUGUUUUUCUCCUGUUAAUCUUUUGAGCUGGGCAUGGUGGCUCCCGCCUAUAAUCCCAACAUCUUGGGAGGCCAAGGCAAGAGGAUUGCUUGAACCCAGGAGCUGGAGAUCAGCCUGGGCAACAUGACAGGAGCCCAUCUCUACGAAAUAAAAAAUUAAAAAAUUAGGGCCAGGCGCAGUGGCUGACACUUGUAAUCCCAGCACUUUGGGAAGCCGAGGCAGGUGGAUCACAAGGUCAGGAGUUCAAGACCAGCGUGGCCAAGAUGGUGAAACCCCCGCCUCUACUAAAAAUACAAAAAUUAGCCAGGCAUGGUGGCAAGCGCCUGUAAUCCCAGCUACUCGGGUGGCUGAGGCAGGAGAAUUGCUUGAACCCGGGUGGCAGAGGUUGCAGUGAGCCGAGAUCAUGCCACUGCACUCCAGCCUGGGUGACAGAGCAAGACUCUGUCUCAAAAAUAAAUAAAUAAAUAGCCAGGUGUUGUGGCAAGCUCCUGUAGUCCCAGUUACUUGGGAGGCUGAGAUGGGAGGAUCACUUGAGCCUGGGGGUGUGGAGGUUGCAGUGAGCCAUGAUAGCACCACUGUGCUCUAGCCUGGGAGACACAGUGAGACCCUGUCUCAAAAAAAAAAAAUCUAUCUUUUGUUACAAGGACUCUAGCUGAGAAUUUAGAAGGGUAGCAAGAAAAUUCAUCUUUCCUCCCCUAAAUAUGCUACUGAUAGAGGCGGGAGACAGCCAAAUGCCAUCCAGGUCAUUAUGCACAGGGGGCUUGCCUAAACAUGCCUACAGUGAAAAAUUCUAUCCCUUAACACAUGUGCAGUAAGGGAAAUAAAUCAGUGUGGAGUGGCUCAGAUUAGAGGCCUACAUGUGCACUGGGGAAAUGGGGUGGAGCCACCAGGAAUUCAUGCUUUAUGCAGGGGAGCCGGGCUUCUUCAGCUCCAGUAUGGUGGCCUGAUAUUCAGUCUGUGGAGUAGGAGCCUGUUGGCAGGACCACCUCUUUGCUAAGGGCUUUCUUUUCACUUAAUACAUUCUGACCCUUCAAUGUGUCCAUGUGCCUAAUUUUUCCUGAUCGGGAGACAAGAGCCCAGAUUUUAGCUGAACUAAGAAGAAAAAUAUCGUGCGUCACUAGUUGGCCUGGAAGAACAAUGGAAUUACUCAUUUGAGAUGUGGGUUUGAAGAAAGUUAUUUUUAGUAUUCUGAUAAGCAGUUAAAAUACUGCUGUCAUGUUUCUCUCUUUGUGCCAGUCUCAUGCAGUUUCCCAGCAAAAUCACAAUUAAACUGAUAAUGUGAUUUUUAUGUUUUGGCAUCCUUUCAGAUUUUGUUUUUUUUGUUUUGUUUUUGAGACGGGGUCUGGGUGUGUCACCCAAGCUGGAAUGCAUUGGCAUAAUCACAGCUCAUUGCAGCCUCAACCUCUGGGGCUCAAGUGAUCUUCCCACCACCUCAGCCUCCUGAGUAGCUGGGACUAUCAGCGGACGCCACCAUGACUGGCUAAUUUUUAAACUUUUUGUAGAGACGGGUUUUGUGAUGUUGCUCAAGCUGGUCUUGAACUCCUGGGCUAAAGCAAUCCUCCUGUCUGAGCCUCCUGAAGUGCUGGGAUUACAGGCCACGAUGUCUGGCCUCUAAUUACUUUGAUAAUAAGUAAGCAUCUCCCCUUCUCUUUUUUUUCUGAGACAGAGUCUCACUCUAUUGCCCAGGCUGGAGUGCAAUGGCACAAACUUGGCUUUGCCUCCUGGGUUCAAGCAACCUCUGCCUCCCAGGUUCAAGCAAUUCUCCUGCCUCAGCCUCCCAAGUAGCUGGGAUCACAGGCGUGUGCUACCAUGCCCGGCUAAUUUUUUGUAUUUUUAGUAGAGAUGGCGUUUCACCAUGUUGGCCAGCCUGCUCUUGAACUCCUAACCUGCCUUCCAAAGUAUUGGGAUUACAGGUGUGAGCCACCACGCCUGGCUCUUUGUUGUUUGUUUUUGAGCUGGAGUCUCGCUGUGUCACCCAGGCUGGAGUACAGUGGCGCCAUCUCGGCUUACUGCAACCUCCACCUCCUGAGUUCAAGCGAUUCCCCUGCCUCAGCCUCCUGAGUAGCUGGGACCGCAGGCAUGCACUACCACACCCAGCUAAUUUUUGUAUUUUUAGUAGAGACGGGGUUUCACCAUGUUGGCCACGCUGGUCUUGGAACUCCUGACCUCAGGUGAUCCGCUCACCUCAGCCUCCCAAAGUGCUGGGAAUACAGGUGUGAGCCACCGCGCCUGGCCGCAUCCCCCACUUCUCUAGUGAAUUUUUUGGGGUUAUCACUGUGUUAAAAAGCUCUUCUCUUUGAGUCCCUUGGGAGAUCCCACUUUCUUCAGUAACACACCUUCUCUGGCCCUUCGUAGCUAUUUACUUUCCCAGUACUCUUUCAUCAUCUUGAAACCACCAUUGCAAAAUUAUAACUGAGACAGUGACAGAGAUCUGACCGAACCAACUCCAUCUUGCUUCUAACUUCCAAGCUGUCCUUGUUCAUUCCUGAGUGUAGGCUGAACUAACUUUGGGAGGAACUUAGUUUAUAGUUUAAAAGAAAGACAAUAAUAGCCCUUUCCCAAAACAAACCCCCAUCUUGCCUGGGGACCAGAAUGCCUUUGUAGGAGUAACAAAUUAGCCAAAAGAUUAGAAAUUAUGAUUUAGGAGUCAUGCAGCUAGAGGCUACAGGAUUCUGACCCUCCCCAAAUUGCUCCCGGGAAUAACAUCACUGAAGUCUAAGAUCAGUGCUUGAGAUAUUUUGCAGACCUCGCACUGGAUGGAUCAGCUGGCACCACCCAGAUCGAUAAACUGGCUCAUCAGAUCUUGUGGCCCCCACCCAGGAACUGACUCAAGCACAAGACAGCUUCAAUUCCCUAUGAUUUCAUCUCUGACCCGAUCAAUCAGCACUCCUGACUCACUGGAUGCCACCCACCCUCCAAAUUAUCCUUAAAAACUGUGACCUCCAAAUGCUUGGGGAGACUCAUUUGAGUAAUAAAAAAAGUCCCAGUUUCCCACACAGCUGGCUCUGCAUGAAUUAUUCUUUCUCUAUUGCAAUUCACCUGUCUUGAUAAAUUGGUUCUGCCUAGGCAGCAGGCAAGGUGAACCUGUUGGGCCAUUACAAUCUCAUAGCAGUGGCAGAAUGGACAGACCAGUGAACCCUGUGCUAGGACAACCUGCACCAGGCCCUGGCUGUUGUAGGAGGUCCUUUUUUUUUUUUUUUUUUUUGAGAUGGAGUUUCACUCUUGUUGUCCAGGCUAGAGUGCAAUGGCGCGAUCUCGGCUCACCGCAACCUCCGCCCCCUGGGUUCAAGCAAUUCUCCUGCCUCAGCCUCCCAAGUAGCUGGGAUUACAGGCAGGCACCACCACGCCCGGCUCAUUUUGUAUUUUUAGUAGAGACCGGGUUUCUCCAUGUCAGUCAGGCUAGCCCCAAAUUCCUGACCUCAGGUGAUCCACCCGCCUCCCCGCCUCGGCCUCCCAAAGUGCUGGGAUGACAGGCAUAAGCCACCGCGCCCAGCCUGUUGUAGGAGGUCUUGAACAAACCACUUAACUUGUUUGGGUGGGGCUUAGUUUCCACGUUAGUAAUCUGGAAGUAACAGUUCUGCCUUAUCUGUCUGUUAGGGUUUUGACACUUAGUGAAGUAUGGGAUUUGUAUACUGUAAAGUGAUUGAAUGUAUUUACUAGGUGCAAUACAUAAAAUACGAGUUUCAAGCACUGCUCUGCUUUUACUUAUAGAACCACGUUCUCACUUUUCUAGCCUGAUCAUUCAAGACCCUUGAACACAUCGUCCUUAUCUCCCGCUCCUCAUUGAGACCCUUCCAGAACACUACAAACUUGUAAUACUUAGCUGUAUCACCAGCAAACCAUGUCCUUCCCAAUUUCAGGACCUUUCAAUGUGCUUUCCUCUGCCUGGGGGUGGGUGGGGGGUGGAGAGUAGUUUCCUCCCAACCCAUGAAACCUCUCCACAAAGGUAGAAGAGACAGAAAACCAUUACUGAAUAAGUAUUAAACCAGAUUGUGAUGCCGUACAUCACAUGCAACCUGCUAAAGGCAACACAAAGACAGAAACUCACUUUUUCUAUGCAGCUAAGUAGAGAUAGCCCAUCACAUUAUGUAGGUUUUGCAAUUUGGAGUCAGGUGCCAAGUUAAGCCUUUGUCCUCCUAAGAAGCUGGACUCUUGGCCCUUUCGUCCCUUAACAAUUGCAUUUUUUUCUUUCUUUGUUUUUGAGACAGAGUCUCGCUCUGUCUCCAGGCUGGAGUGCAGUGGUGCUAUGUCGGCUCACUGCAACCUCCGCCUCCCGGGUUCAAGCGAUUCUCCUGCCUCAGCCUCCCGAGUAGCUGGUACUACAGGCACGCUUCACCAUGCCCAGCUAAUUUUUGUAUUUUUAGUAGGGACAGAGUUUCACCAUGUUGGCCAGGAUGGUCUCGAUCUCUUGAUCUUGUGAUCCGCCCGCCUCAGCCUCCCAAAGUGCUGGGAUUGCAGGCGUGAGCCACCGCACCCAGCCAACAAUUACACUUCAAGGAGAUGGCUCCCAAGAAACAUUCCUGAGUUGAACCUGGCCAUAUAAGAAAAAGACUUGAGUACAUUUGGAAAGGAGAGAGGCUGAAAUUUUGAAAGAAAAAGGGAGGGGGAUGGUUUCUCGUCCCUUCUUUUCCUCAGGGAAAAUUAAACCCUAUGUAUAAUUUGUAUUUGCCCUUCCACCUGCAUCACCUUUCCCACAUGCUCCCACAGGCAGGCUCCUGUUCAUUCCCAAGGCUCCGUGUCCACAUCGUGCUUGGAUUCCGCCCGGCCCCGCCUGUGCGGCCGCACCAGGAAGGCACCACCCAUUAGGGGCUCAGCGCGUCCCUCCAGGCCACGCCGUCAGGCCUCCGUCCUUUUAGCUGUAGGGGCAGAUUACGUAACUCCAGCCUUCUGGUCACUAAAGGAGGGUAACAAAGGGCGGUCGAGAGACUCCACUGAGUUGACACGCAGACGCAGCCUCAGGACCCUAAACUCUACGCCCCAGCACACCCUACCAAGCGAGCGCCCGCGGCCGCGUGACGUCAUCUACCCCAAACGCUGUGGCCCCGGCCACGCACGGCUUCGGGGCGGGACUACGCGGUGACGUCGAGGUGCGCGGCGCAGCGCGCGGCGUCAGUCUUGGCUGGCAGACCUGUACUCCGUACUCCGUACUUCGUAGUCGCAGCGGCGCGGUCUUCGGCAGUCUAGUCAUCCACCGCCAUCCUGGGCCCCACGUGUUGCCUGACCAUUCCUGAGCCCAGGUGGGAGCCGUGGCUGAGGUGACGGUCUCAAAGUGGAAGAGCUUACUGUCACAGCAACUCCUUUGCAAGAUGCCCCGGUAAAUCACGUUGCAGAGACCCCAACUCUGCCUUCCUGGAACUAGGCCUGCGUUUUCUCUGAACCAUUAUUUCAUGGGGAAAAUGAAAUCUACUUCAUGUGCCUGGUCUACUUACUCCUUCAGAAGUGAUUUCUGAGCCGUAAGAUACAUGAGAAAAAAAUGAAGGGGAAAAGGCAGUAUUUAUAUUAACUACAUGAUGAUAAGGAUGUUUCUGGUCACAGUGAAAAGCCAUGCUAGAAUUGUAGUGUCAUAGAAUAAUGUGGAAGUUUAGUUCGUGUUGUCUGAUCUAUUUAAUAAUUUAAUAAGGUUAUCUCUUCCAAGACACCUUCCCUUCUUCCUCAGCCAGAAAGGAUCUUUCCCUGAGAGUCAUUAGUAGCUCUGGGCUCCUGGAACCAAGCUCAGGUGCCUAAUUGAACUCUGGUCUCUUCCCACAGCCCCCAGCAGGGACUGGUGCUUAGUGAGAGUGGACUGCCAGAUUCCUUGAGUGUGGGGGAUUUGGGUGAAUGAGGGUAGCAAGCCUCCAGCGUGCUUGGGUCUGCGGUGACCCUAUGCAUUCCUUCAGUGCUUGCUAGAACAGUUUUGAAACGGUUUGAGGCCUUGCCCUGCUCCAUCCAGAGCAAGGUUAUAGAAAUUUCAGACAAUGACUUCCUCCCUCCUGGAUCUAGUGUCCUGGGCCUUGUAUAGAUCCGUGCCAUCUAAUGUGGUAGCCACUUGGCACACAUGAUUAAAUUAAAUUUGGAGUUUUAUUUCAUUUUCACACUAGCCACAUUUCAGAUGAUCAGUAGCCACAGGUGGCCAGUGGCUACCAUAUUGGACCGCACAGAUUAGAGGGCAUUUCUGUCGCUGUGGAAGUUGUUUUGGACAAUGCUGGUGUGAAAGGUGAAGGGAAUCCUGAGUGUUUGCUGUGCUCCAGGCUCAGUACAAAUUUUAUUUUAUUAUACACUUAAAGCAAAAGUCUUAUAAAAGUUGAGGAUGAAGCCAAGAGUGGUGGUAAGGGUAGGAGUUGAAACAGUGAAGAGGAAUAACAGGGAAGAGUCCUGCCCUGAGAGACUCAUGGAAUAGGAUAUUUACAAGGCAAAGCAAAGAGAACCAAAGUCUCAGUUCUGCAGAGGAGCUGAGUGCCCCAGGAGCUAGUGGAGGGUGAGGUCAAUGUGUGCUCAUCUUAAAGGAAAAACUCAUGGAAGAGGAAGGUGCUAAUGUUGAACACCUAUUUUGCGCCAGACCUCUUAAUUGUUUUAAAUCUUUGAGGUAUCAUCAUGAGGUCGUUUUUAAGUUCAGUACAGAUGAGGGGCCCAAGGUCAGAAUUAUGUGUCCAGGGUUGCCCAGCCACAAACCAGCAGAUCAGGGUUUGAUGCCAGGCCUCUCUAACCCUGCAUCCUGAGUGGAAUAUAGAAGCCGGUGGGAAGUUUGGAUGGGAAGGAGAUGGAUGCCUUCAAGUUCUUGUCUUGGUGUUAGGUGUGUUAAAGGACUGGCUGGGAUGAGAAGAGUGUUGCUGGCUUGAGCAUAGCACGAGCAGCACAGCUCCUGUGUUCCUCUGGGUGGUGGGGUCACCUCUCUUAAAGGUAGAGGCUUUCAGCUGAUUCUGUCUUUUCAGGCCAGGAAUAGUUGCUGAACACCCCAGGCCUGCUGAGGUCCCUCCUUGAGUCUCAUGUUCAAGCAGUCUUUGUCCAUGAAACUGGGAGGCGACCGUGUUAGCUGCCAGUUCCUGACAGCCACCUCUCACCAGUGGCUUCACUCUGUGUCCCUGACCCAGCACAUGGCACAAGAGUGCCUGCCAUCCGUCAGUGUUUCUACAGCAGCAAUCCCAAGAUGCUGGAGCUAGAGGGGACCUGACCUGAGAGAAGAUACCUUCAGUGGCUGCCAGGCUGUUCCUUGGAACCUGUGCAGGGAUGAGGCCUGCCUGUGUUAAUACACCUAGUGAGGAGUGGAGCUGAAUUUGAAUGCAAGCCUUGGCACCUUAAUUGAGCAAGUUUGAAACCUCGCUUGUUGCCCUUCUGGAAGGAGUCAGGAAUUUCCAGUUCUGGGCCUGGGCUGUGGGUCUGGCAGACAGACCUCUGGCCCUAGGUUUGGGUGCCAGGUUCUCUGCUUCCAGAAUGAGAAGCUUUGCUGUGCACCAGGACCUGGGCCCUUCUGGUAUCUCCUGAAUGAAAAACAAGGGAUAUUUAAUAAAUAUGGAUUUAAAUAUGUGA
rnacentral:lncRNA from 10 species